rnacentral:rRNA from 1 species
AGUGAACGCUGGCGGCGUGCCUAACACAUGCAAGUCGUGCGAGAAAGGGAGCAAUCCUGAGUAAAGCGGCGAACGGGUGAGUAACACGUGGUUAACCUGUCUGGAUGUGGGGGAUACCCCGGGGAAACUCGGGACAAUACCGCAUGAUGUCUCUCGGGCGUCGGCCCGGGAGAGCAAAGCCGGGGACCGCAAGGCCUGGCGCAUCCGGAGGGGACCGCGGCCGAUUAGCUAGUUGGCGGGGUAAUGGCCCACCAAGGCGUCGAUCGGUAGCCGGCCUGAGAGGGUGAUCGGCCACACCGGAACUGAGACACGGUCCGGACUCCUACGGGAGGCAGCAGUGGGGAAUUUUGCGCAAUGGGCGAAAGCCUGACGCAGCAACGCCGCGUGGAGGAUGAAGGUGCUCUGCAUUGUAAACUCCUGUCGGCCGGGAAGAAUCGGCGGGGUGCUAAUCAGCCCCGUCUUGACUGUACCGGCAAAGGAAGCCCCGGCUAACUCCGUGCCAGCAGCCGCGGUAAUACGGAGGGGGCAAGCGUUACUCGGAAUUAUUGGGCGUAAAGGGCGCGUAGGCGGUUUCGUGCGUCAGGGGUGAAACCCCCGGGCUUAACCCGGGACCUGCCUCUGAUACGGCGAGACUUGAGUCCGGGAGAGGGGAGCAGAAUUCCCAGUGUAGCGGUGAAAUGCGUAGAUAUUGGGAGGAAUACCAGUGGCGAAGGCGGCUCCCUGGACCGGUACUGACGCUGAGGCGCGAAAGCGUGGGUAGCAAACAGGAUUAGAUACCCUGGUAGUCCACGCCGUAAACGAUGGGUGCUUGGUGUCGGGGGUAUCGACCCCUCCGGUGCCGAAGCUAACGCAUUAAGCACCCCGCCUGGGGAGUACGGUCGCAAGGCUGA